rnacentral:tRNA from 2 species
UGGGAUUGUAGUUCAAUUGGUCAGAGCACCGCCCUGUCAAGGCGGAAGCUGCGGGUUCGAGCCCCGCCAGUCCCGGC